CAGACCCCUGAGACCUGUGUCUUGGAGUAUCUGCAAGCAGGAAGGAAAACAGGACUCAUCUCUCUCUCUUUUAAUUAGAGAAGAAAAUGUUGUCUGAAGUCUUCAGCAGCUCCUCAAGUCUCCUUGGCCAGAUCUGGAUAAGAGGAUUUCUAUAGCCUCUCUUGUUGUAGGUGGGAUGUCAUUAGAGCUUUCCUGGUUAGAAGAAGCUCUCAUCCACCCUGGUUGCCUAAGAUCUCUUUCCUGUAUUGCAUCAGACAGAAACAUGGGAGAAAAACAACUGGUUCUAGUGAAAUAGAGACAAGAAUGGCUGCCUGAAGAAGCUAGAAAGCCAUGCAGGACAGGAGCUGAAAGAGCAUCGUGCUAUGAGGAGCAGGUGUAACUCAGCCAUCUAACGCCUUAGUUAGGAGUUGAGCCCAAGGUCAAGACACAGUUUGAGUCAAAGAUAAUUCGAAUGAAAAUUAAGAUAUAAACAUAUAUUCAUACACAUAUAUAUCUUGCUAUGUUGCCCAGGCUGGCUUUGACCUCCUAGGCUCAAGUAUUCCUCUUGCAUCUGCCUCUCAUUCACUAAUUUUUAAAGGAAUCUUCUAUGGAAUUAAUAAACUAUUGUUAAAUGGAAAGAUACAAUUAAAU
ensembl:lncRNA